AUGAGACCCAACCUUGACCCUUUGGAAAGCUCUCAAAACUCGCGCAGUAUUGCGUGCCACUAAAUUGUCAACUUCUCUGAACUCUUUUGACAAAGAAUCAACAGCCUUAUUAACCUCGGGAACAAACGGGGAAUCGGAAUGAUGCAGCUGAGGAACUGAAACUCGAGAGCUCGAACGCACUGCAGCUUUAGCAGAAGUUACUCUCAGAGUAUGCGUAGGAUAAG
rnacentral:misc_RNA from 1 species